UUUCCUUGUUAACUGCGGUAACUGAGUUACUUUUAUUAUUUUUGUCAUUGUUAAUCUAUCAUGAACCUCACAUAAACAAACAAAAAAUUCAGUAGCACUGCACUAAUUAACAAUAACUUAAAAAAUAGAAAAAGAAAAUAACAAGAAAAUAAAAUAGAAAAUAAAAAUAAAAAUAGAAAUAAAAAUUAAAAUUUCAAGUAUUAACAAGCAAAAAAAUAUAUAAC
rnacentral:lncRNA from 1 species